UCCCUGCCCUUUUUACACACCGCCCGUCGCUACUACCGAUUGAAUGGCUUAGUGAGGCUUCAAGAUUGGCGCUGCGGCGGAGGCAACUCUGCCCUGGCGCCGAGAAUUUAGUCAAACUUGGUCAUUUAGAGGUACGUAAAAGUCGUAACAAGGUUUCCGUAGGUGAACCUGCGGAAGGAUCAUUA
rnacentral:rRNA from 1 species